GGGUCCAUAUGGAAGUAGUUCUGACCCAAAGGGGUUCAGAGAUGAAGAGGCCUGGUGAAUCUGUUCAGCUGACAUGUGCCACAAGUGGAUUUGUGCUAAAUGAUUAUUACACAGCUUGGGUCAGACAAAAACCAGGGAAGGGUCUGGAAUGGCUGGUAUACUACUGGAGAUCUUCUGCAACCAACUACUAUUCCCCCACCAUCCAAGGACGAUUCACAGCCUCCAAGGAUAGCUCCAAUUUUUACUUGCAAAUGAACAGCCUGAAAGUGGAGGACACAGCUGUGUAUUACUGUGCAAAACAAGAUACACAGUGA